UUAUGGCUCAGGAUGAACGCUAGCUACAGGCUUAACACAUGCAAGUCGAGGGGCAGCAUGAUCAAAGCUUGCUUUGAUGAUGGCGACCGGCGCACGGGUGAGUAACGCGUAUCCAACCUUCCCUAUAGUAGUGGAUAGCCCGGCGAAAGUCGGAUUAAUACACUAUGUUGUAUUUAGAGGACAUCUGAAGAAUACCAAAGGUUUACCGCUAUAGGAUGGGGAUGCGUCUGAUUAGAUAGUAGGCGGGGUAACGGCCCACCUAGUCGACGAUCAGUAGGGGUUCUGAGAGGAAGGUCCCCCACAUUGGAACUGAGACACGGUCCAAACUCCUACGGGAGGCAGCAGUGAGGAAUAUUGGUCAAUGGACGGGAGUCUGAACCAGCCAAGUAGCCGUGCAGGAUGACGGCCCUAUGGGUUGUAAACUGCUUUUAUACGGGGAUAAAGUGAGCCACGUGUGGCUUUUUGUAGGUACCGUAUGAAUAAGGACCGGCUAAUUCCGUGCCAGCCGCCGC
rnacentral:rRNA from 1 species